AUAGGUGGGAGGCUUUGAAGUGUGGACGCCAGUCUGCAUGGAGCCGACCUUGAAAUACCACCCUUUAAUGUUUGAUGUUCUAACGUUGACCCGUGAUCCGGGUUGCGGACAGUGUCUGGUGGGUAGUUUGACUGGGGCGGUCUCCUCCUAAAGAGUAACGGAGGAGCACGAAGGUUGGCUAAUCCUGGUCGGACAUCAGGAGGUUAGUGCAAUGGCAUAAGCCAGCUUGACUGCGAGCGUGACGGCGCGAGCAGGUGCGAAAGCAGGUCAUAGUGAUCCGGUGGUUCUGAAUGGAAGGGCCAUCGCUCAACGGAUAAAAGGUACUCCGGGGAUAACAGGCUGAUACCGCCCAAGAGUUCAUAUCGACGGCGGUGUUUGGCACCUCGAUGUCGGCUCAUCACAUCCUGGGGCUGAAGUAGGUCCCAAGGGUAUGGCUGUUCGCCAUUUAAAGUGGUACGCGAGCUGGGUUUAGAACGUCGUGAGACAGUUCGGUCCCUA
rnacentral:rRNA from 1 species